rnacentral:rRNA from 1 species
AGCGAACGCUGGCGGCAGGCCUAACACAUGCAAGUCGAACGGGCUCUUCGGAGCUAGUGGCGGACGGGUGAGUAACACGUGGGAACGUGCCUUUAGGUUCGGAAUAAGCCCGGGAAACUGGGUCUAAUACCGAAUGUGCCCUUCGGGGGUAAGAUUUAUCGCCUUUAGAGCGGCCCGCGUCUGAUUAGCUUGUUGGUGAGGUAAUGGUGCACCAAGGCGACGAUCAGUAGCUGGUCUGAGAGGAUGACCAGCCACAUUGGGACUGAGACACGGCCCAAACUCCUACGGGAGGCAGCAGUGGGGAAUCUUGCGCAAUGGGCGAAAGCCUGACUCAGCCAUGCCGUGUGGAUGAUGAAGGUCUUAGGAUUGUAAAAUCCUUUCACCGGUGAAGAUAAUGACUGUAGCCGGAGAAGAAGCCCCGGCUAACUUCGUGCCAGCCGCCGCAGUAAGAC